CCAACCACCACAAACCUCGGAAGUAAAAGUCGUAACAAGGUAUUUCCGUAUGUACCUGCGGACAAGGAAGGAUCAUUAUUUAGUUCCCGGUCUCUCCAGGUGC
rnacentral:rRNA from 1 species